UUGUAUUUGAUGUUUAGACCCCUCGG
rnacentral:piRNA from 1 species